rnacentral:lncRNA from 1 species
AGUGGGACAAAAGAGUGAUCUGGGCCCUCAUCUCGUCCCUUCUUUUGUAGGUCAAUGGUGCGGAGGUGACGCAGGAGCUCUUGGUGUGACCUGGGCCUAUGUAUGAUACCACAGGAGCUUGACCGAGGAUGCUCUGGUGUUUUAAUAAGUGACCCCUUUUUCUGAAGAUGUUGGGUGGUUAAUGAAAGAAGGAAUUGUAUUCUUGGCGAUGUCUGAAAGAAAUGUGUGGCUUUGAAAGAAGAUUAUGAAAUAUACAGGAAAGGAGUGAAAUCAAAGGAUGUUUUUCCAUGAUAGAGUAAUGUUUACACAUGUAUUCAGUAAUGUGAAGAUUUAUAUAAGGUAAGGGAUUUGUAAACUUACUAAGUUGUUUUUUUGUUUUUUUUUUUUUUUUUCUACUUCAUUUUUUUCCUUUUUUCACUUUUCAGCAGUAAGAAGAACUAAGUUCUUUAUGUGAGCCGGACUUCUAAGUUACUAGGCUGGUGGCCUUCAGCUCUAAUUUUAAUUUACAUCAGUCUUUCAGGGACCUGGGAUUUCCAUGAUUGCUGGCUUGGUUUUUCCCCAGAGUCCUGAUGUGUAGAAAUAACUUUGAGGGGAUACAACCAGUAGGAAACGUGGCUGGGGAUCAGUGUAACCGAACCUGUGGCUGUGUGAAAGCCAGUAACUGUUUCCCUGAUGUCAUCUAUGCCUGAGCACUUUCUUUAUGUGUGGAAGAAGGUAUUUGUGCCCUGGCCUCACUGCCUCCGUAAUGUCAUCCAGACCAGCAGACACCCAGACCAGCAGA